ACAAAUAUAUGUUCAUUUCUAUAAACGUGUGUAAUGGCAAUUUUAAUGCUCCAAUGUCCUAUAUCCUUUGCCAUUACUUCACAGGAGGGUUUAGAGCGAUCCUCACGCAGACACAAACAGAAGAAUUUCCGGUCUUUUGCUGCAGUUUAGAAUGAUGUUUUAUUUCGCUUUACAUACCAAGGUUUAGUUUUACUGUGUCAAUAGUUGUGGUAUGAGCAUCUGCCGGGCUGGUGGAAUCGGUAUGCUCUUCCUCCUGUGUCCUCGUCCUCUCCUGUCACCUAUGACCCCUUUCAUACACCCGGUGCAGCUAAACCCCGCCACCAAGUGUUCAAAAAUAAUAUUGCACUAUACAUAUCAAUUAAAUAAACUGAGACACCAACAACACCCAUAAAAUGGCU